AUUGAAAAAAAACAUCUUUUAAAACUGAAAAAGAUGUUUCCUCAAGUACUAUAGGAAGACUUGGGUUUAUGUAAGAAGACUGAAGCCUGCUUUCGAGUUAGUGAAAACGCUGUGCCUGUAUUUAAAUCUAGCAGGAAAGUACCGUUCGUGGCAACUGAAAUCGUGAAUGAAGAGUUGGACAGACUGGAAAAGAGUGGAAUCAUCAAAAAGGUGGAUUACUCU